AAGGACCUUGCUCUCUCACGAGGCCGAAUCCUCCCCGAGGUGGUUGCCGUCUCCCUGGGACCUACGUUCUGCCCCCUGGGAGGUAGGGAGUUGGAUCUUGUACAACGAUGAAUGCGUGGACAUGUGUAGAUGCCGUCUGCUUCCCAGAGUCCCCAGCCGGGCUCCCCAGGACUCUGCGGGACCCUCUUCAGUGCGCCUGUGCUGUUUGCUUUCAGGUGGCUGCAAGCAAGUCCCUCUUCUCAGCCAGGCAGGAGGGAGCAGAAGAAGGGCCUGUGUGUCUCCUCAGUUUCAAAGGAACUCCCCCGGCCGAGUGUACUCUUGAACUAAAGCUUGAGCGAAUCAGAAACAUCUGGGCUAUUUUUUCUGUGCUUAAAAACAGGAAACGGACCCAUCCAAAGCCGUUUGGGGUCUUCUCAAGGGGUCAUUUAAGAUGAAGAGCAAUUUGAGAUCGCCCGUCUGUUGGAGAACUGCACGUGCUGAGAGGACAGGCCACCUCCUUCCACUCCUGCGGUGGUGCAAGGGGAGGCUUUAGUCCAGGAUAACAAAUUCUGAACCAGCUGCCGCAUCUGGAGCCCCUGAGGGCUUAUGCACUGGUGCCCAGGGAGUUUCCUGGCUUAUCACAUCCGAGGCCGACUUUCGGGCUGCAGAGGGGUGUCUGAGCCACUGAAGUGGAUGGAGGAACUGCUUCUCUGCCGGCCGCUGUGUUGAGGAUGGCUUCGAGGGGCCCAGCAGGGAGCUUCGUCCUGUGCAGCACCUCCAGGGAACCUGCGGCUGGAGCUUGCCUGGAAACGCUGAGGUCAGCUGGAGUUCACCAUCAGAGGAUCUGGGGCUGGACUUUACGUCCUUGUCUGUACCCUGAAGCUGGGCUCCUGUGACCCAGAGCUGCUGGCAGAAGUGGGUCCUGGGACCCUAAGGACUGUGAGCGUUCUAAGGAUCUGGAAGGAUGGACAGCCCCAUGCAGCCGUGCCCUCCCACCUGGCAGGAAGCUUUUGUGCCUGUAGCCCACGCGGUGGGUGUGGCCCUGCUGCCAGAGGGAGUGCCCUGUCUCACUGGCCUGACAGGUCCUGAUGCCGGGUGGCAUCUUGCAGAGCCUGGGGUAGUUCUGGGGAGUGGUGUCUGCAGGAGACGAGCUGCCCACCAUGGCCCAGAGAGGAGAAGGGAACAGCAGAUUACCUCCACGGAAAAAGAGGAGGCAAAGGCAGAGAAAUGGUACGUGGGCUCUGAAGCUCCAGCCAGGUGGGUUGGAAGUUCUCACCUCCUGACCUCCUAGGUUUGUUCCUAGGAGUGGAACCUAAGGAGUUAAUUAGAAUUGUUACA